rnacentral:rRNA from 1 species
UGCGUAGGCGGUCCGGGAAGUUGGGUGUGAAAGCCCUCAGCUCAACUGAGGAAUUACGCCCAAAACUGCCGGGCUCGAGGGAGACAUAGGUGAGCGGAACUUAGGGUGGAGCGGUGAAAUGCGUUGAGAUCCUAAGGAACACCAGUAGCGAAAGCGGCUCACUGGGUCUCUUCUGACGCUGAUGCACGAAAGCUAGGGGAGCGAAGAGGAUUAGAUACCCUCGUAGUCCUAGCCGUAAACAAUGAGCACUGGUUUGGAGGGUCCUCCAUAGCCUUCCAGACGUAGCGAAAGUGUUAAGUGCUCCGCCUGGGGAGUAUGGUCGCAAGGCUGAG